rnacentral:rRNA from 1 species
CGAGACCUCAGGUCAGGCGGGGCUACCCGCUGAAUUUAAGCAAAC